GACAGAGGGUGCAAACGUUGUUCGGAAUUACUGGGCAUAAAGCGCACGUAGGUGGUCCGCUAAGUCGCGUGUGAAAUCCCUCGGCUCAACCGAGGAAUUGCGGGCGAUACUGGCGGGCUAGAGAUCGGGAGGGGUGAGUGGAAUUCCUAGUGUAGAGGUGAAAUUCGUAGAUAUUAGGAAGAACACCAGUGGCGAAGGCGGCUCACUGGCCCGGUACUGACGCUGAGGCGCGAAAGCGUGGGGAGCAAACAGG
rnacentral:rRNA from 1 species